GUUGAAACACCAGUUCCCGUAUGAUCUCUGAAGUUAAGCAACGUCGAAUCUGGUCAGUACUUAAGUGGAUGACCGCUUGGAAAUACCAGCUACUGUA